rnacentral:tRNA from 1 species
GGAAAGUUGGCCGAGUGGCUUAAGGCAGCGGUUUCGAAAACCGCCGUAGUGUCACAGCUACCGGGGGUUCGAAUCCCUCACUUUCCG